rnacentral:rRNA from 1 species
UACGUAGGGUGCAAGCGUUGUCCGGAUUUAUUGGGCGUAAAGAGCUUGUAGGUGGCUCGUUGCGUCGGGAGUGAAAACCUGCGGCUUAACCGCAGGCCUGCUUCCGAUACGGGCGAGCUAGAGUUCGGCAGGGGAGACUGGAAUUCCUGGUGUAGCGGUGGAAUGCGCAGAUAUCAGGAGGAACACCGGUGGCGAAGGCGGGUCUCUGGGCCGAUACUGACACUGAGAAGCGAAAGCGUGGGGAGCGAACAGG